rnacentral:rRNA from 1 species
AGGGUUUGAUUAUGGCUCAGGAUGAACGCUGGCGGCGUGCCUAACACAUGCAAGUCGAGCGAGAAGCUUUUAACGGACGCUUCGGUUGAAGUUAAGAGUGGAAAGCGGCGGACGGGUGAGUAACGCGUAGGCAACCUGCCCCUUGCAGAGGGAUAGCCUCGGGAAACCGGGAUUAAAACCACAUAAAUCCUUUUUAUCGCAUGAUAGAGAGGACAAAGAUUUAUCGGCAAGGGAUGGGCCUGCGUCUGAUUAGUUAGUUGGUGGGGUAACGGCCUACCAAGGCGACGAUCAGUAGCCGACCUGAGAGGGUGAACGGCCACAUUGGAACUGAGACACGGUCCAA